rnacentral:ncRNA from 2 species
UAAUGCACUUCAGGGCGGGGUGAGAGUCCCCACCGGCGGUAAAGCCCGCGAACCGUAAGGUUGAUUCGGUUAGAUUCCGAAGCCGACAGUAUAGUCUGGAUGGAAGAAGGUAUUA